AAGACUAUACUGUCAGGGAUCAUUUCUAUAGUUUGUUUCUAGAGAAGUUUCUCUGAAUGUGUAGAGCACCGCUUAAUUUUUUAAAUUUAGAUGAUAAAU
ensembl:snoRNA U3 Small nucleolar RNA U3